rnacentral:siRNA from 1 species
CCAAAUGCUCUUGUAAUUAAAGU